GCGGGUGUGGCGGAAUUGGCAGACGCACUGGAUUUAGGUUCCAGCGGGAAACCAUGUGGGUUCAAAUCCCACCAUCCGCACCA
rnacentral:tRNA from 1 species